GGUAUAUUGCUUUGCUCAUGUCGGUCUGUAGGUCGGUCGGUCCGUCCACCAGGUGGUUGUCAGACGAUAACUCAAGAACGCUUGGGCCUAGGAACAUGAAACUUCAUAGGUACAUUGAUCAUGACUUGCAGAUGACCCCUAUUGAUUUUGAGGUCACUAGGUCAAAGGUCAAGGUCACGGUGACCCAAAAUAGUAAAAUGGUUUCCGGAUGAUAACUCAAGAACGCAUACGCCUAGGAUCAUGAAACUUCAUGGGUAGAUUGAUCAUGACUCGCAGAUGACCCCUAUUGUUUUUGAGGUCACUAGGUCAAAGGUCAAGGUCACGGUGACCCGAAAUAGUAAAAUGAUUUUCAGAUGAUAAUUCAAGAACGCAUAUGCCUAGGAUCGUGAAACUUUAUAGGUAGAUUGAUCAUGACUCGCAGAUGACCCCUAUUGAUUUUCAGGUCACUAGGUCAAAGGUCAAGGUCACAGUGACAAAAGUCGUAUUCACACAAUGGCUGCCAGUACAACGGACAGCCCAUAUGGGGGGCAUGCAUGUUUUACAAACAGCCCUUGU